GGAAUGAAGAAGGGUAAGAGGUUUAGCGGACCCCGGCGGCGAAGAAGGCGGUUUCCGAAGAUGGGGGAGGCGGCGAAAGUAGUGGGUUCCGAGGAUGGGGGAGAAGAGGAAGAGGAAGGAGACAGGAGAUGGGGGAGAAGAGGAAGAGGAAGGAGACAAGAGAUGGGGGAGAAGAGGAAGAGGAAAGUUUCCUUGGAUGCCCUCGGGAGUAGAGCGAGGACAGAGGGGU
rnacentral:lncRNA from 1 species